rnacentral:rRNA from 1 species
UACGUAGGGGGCUAGCGUUGUCCGGAUUUAUUGGGCGUAAAGAGCGUGUAGGCGGUUUGGUAGGUCCGCUGUGAAAACUCGAGCUCAACCUCGAGACGCCGGUGGAAACCAUCAGGCUAGAGUCCGGAAGAGGAGAGUGGAAUUCCUGGUGUAGCGGUGAAAUGCGCAGAUAUCAGGAAGAACACCCGUGGCUAAGGCGGCUCUCUAGUACGGUACUGACGCUGAGACGCGAAAGCGUGGGGAGCGAACAGG